rnacentral:rRNA from 1 species
AGAGUUUGAUCCUGGCUCAGAUUGAACGCUGGCGGCAUGCUUUACACAUGCAAGUCGAACGGCAGCACGAGGGCAACCUUGGUGGCGAGUGGCGAACGGGUGAGGAAUGCAUCGGAACGUGUCUUCAAGUGGGGGAUAACGCAUCGAAAGGUGUGCUAAUACCGCAUAAUCUCUGAGGAGAAAAGCAGGGGAUCGCAAGACCUUGCGCUUUUGGAGCGGCCGAUGUCUGAUUAGCUUGUUGGUAAGGUAAAAGCUUACCAAGGCUUCGAUCAGUAGCUGGUCUGAGAGGACGACCAGCCACACUGGGACUGAGACACGGCCCAGACUCCUACGGGAGGCAGCAGUGGGGAAUUUUGGACAAUGGGGGCAACCCUGAUCCAGCCAUGCCGCGUGAGUGAAGAAGGCCUUCGGGUUGUAAAGCUCUUUCAGCCGGAACGAAACGGUUACGGUUAAUACCCGUGACUACUGACGGUACCGGAAGAAGAAGCACCGGCUAACUACGUGCCAGCAGCCGCGGUAAUACGUAGGGUGCGAGCGUUAAUCGGAAUUACUGGGCGUAAA